CGGGUGAGUAAUGCCUGGGAAAUUGCCCUGAUGUGGGGGAUAACCAUUGGAAACGAUGGCUAAUACCGCAUAAUAGCUUCGGCUCAAAGAGGGGGACCUUCGGGCCUCUCGCGUCAGGAUAUGCCCAGGUGGGAUUAGCUAGUUGGUGAGGUAAUGGCUCACCAAGGCGACGAUCCCUAGCUGGUCUGAGAGGAUGAUCAGCCACACUGGAACUGAGACACGGUCCAGACUCCUACGGGAGGCAGCAGUGGGGAAUAUUGCACAAUGGGCGCAAGCCUGAUGCAGCCAUGCCGCGUGUAUGAAGAAGGCCUUCGGGUUGUAAAGUACUUUCAGCAGUGAGGAAGGCGGGUACGUUAAUAGCGUGCUUGUUUGACGUUAGCUGCAGAAGAAGCACCGGCUAACUCCGUGCCAGCAGCCGCGGUAAUACGGAGGGUGCGAGCGUUAAUCGGAAUUACUGGGCGUAAAGCGCAUGCAGGUGGUUUGUUAAGUCAGAUGUGAAAGCCCGGGGCUCAACCUCGGAAUUGCAUUUGAAACUGGCAGACUAGAGUACUGUAGAGGGG
rnacentral:rRNA from 1 species